GAUGAACGCUGGCGGCGUGCCUAAUACAUGCAAGUCGAGCGAACAGACGAGGAGCUUGCUCCUCUGACGUUAGCGGCGGACGGGUGAGUAACACGUGGAUAACCUACCUAUAAGACUGGGAUAACUUCGGGAAACCGGAGCUAAUACCGGAUAAUAUAUUGAACCGCAUGGUUCAAUAGUGAAAGACGGUUUUGCUGUCCCUUAUAGAUGGAUCCGCGCCGCAUUAGCUAGUUGGUAAGGUAACGGCUUACCAAGGCAACGAUGCGUAGCCGACCUGAGAGGGUGAUCGGCCACACUGGAACUGAGACACGGUCCAGACUCCGACGGGAGGCAGCAGUAGGGAAUCUUCCGCAAUGGGCGAAAGCCUGACGGAGCAACGCCGCGUGAGUGAUGAAGGUCUUCGGAUCGUAAAACUCUGUUAUUAGGGAAGAACAAAUGUGUAAGUAACUAUGCACGUCUUGACGGUACCUAAUCAGAAAGCCACGGCUAACUACGUG
rnacentral:rRNA from 1 species